UCGAACGAGAAAGUGGAGCAAUCCAUGAGUACAGUGGCGACCGGGUGAGUAACACGUGACUAACCUACCCUCGAGUGUGGAAUAACAUCGGGAAACCGAUGCUAAUACCGCAUAACAUCGCAAGAUCAAAGGAGCAAUCCGCUUGAGGAGGGGGUCGCGGCUGAUUAGCUAGUUGGCGGGGUAACGGCCCACCAAGGCGAAGAUCGGUAGCCGGCCUGAGAGGGCGCACGGCCACACUGGAACUGAAACACGGUCCAGACUCCUACGGGAGGCAGCAGUGGGGAAUUUUGCGCAAUGGGGGAAACCCUGACGCAGCAACGCCGCGUGGAGGAUGAAGCCCCUUGGGGCGUAAACUCCUUUCGACCAAGACGAUGAUGACGGUACUGGUGGAAGAAGCACCGGCUAACUCUGUGCCAGCAGCCGCGGUAAUACAGAGGGUGCAAGCGUUGUUCGGAAUUAUUGGGCGUAAAGGGCGCGUAGGCGGCGCGGUAAGUCACCUGUGAAAUCUCCAAGCUUAACUUGGAGCCUGCAGGCGAAACUGCCGUGCUGGAGUAUGGGAGAGGUGCGUGGAAUUCCCGGUGUAGCGGUGAAGUGCGUAGAUAUCGGGAGGAACACCUGUGGCGAAAGCGGCGCACUGGACCAUAACUGACGCUGAGGCGCGAAAGCUAGGGGAGCAAACAGGAUUAGAUACCCUGGUAGUCCUAGCCCUAAACGAUGAUUGCUUUGGUGUGAUC
rnacentral:rRNA from 1 species